UACGAAGGGGGCUAGCGUUGCUCGGAAUCACUGGGCUUAAAGGGCGCGUAGGCGGGUGCUCAAGUCCGGGGUGAAAUCCUCCAGCUCAACUGGAGAACUGCCUCGGAUACUGGGUGUCUCGAGGGUGGUAGGGGUAUGCGGAACUAUCGGUGGUGCGGUGAAAUGCGUUGAUAUCGAUAGGAACUCCGGUGGCGAAGGCGGCAUACUGGACCACAUCUGACGCUGAGGCGCGAAAGCCAGGGGAGCAAACGGG
rnacentral:rRNA from 1 species